rnacentral:piRNA from 1 species
UAAGCACAUUCCUUUCCCUUCAAGUCCAC